CUGAUUUUAAAUCAUCUCCUCUGAUGUCAGGUCUCACAUCCCGGUCACACUGAUGCAAGAGGUGGGUUCCCUUGGUCUUGGGCAUCUUCGUCCUGUGGCUUUCCAGGAUACAGCCUCCCUUCUGGCUCCUUUCACAGGCUAGCAUCGGAUGUCUGUGGCUUUUCCAGCUUUUAACUAGAAUUGGAACUGAGAAGAAACAGCUUUUCCAAAGAUCCUUGUGUGACUGAAUUGCAGAUGAUGGGCUCAAGUCACUCCCCAAUAGGAUGUGUUCUUCCAGGCCCUUGGCCCAUCACUCACCCAAGAAUGGGGGAGAGGACCCACCAGGCAUGGAUAUCCACAAUAGGAGCAGAAAAUCUUGUGCACCAUUUUAGAAAUCUGUCUGCAAAACGAUGUGUAAAAAUCUCAGAUGAUUUUUACUGA
rnacentral:lncRNA from 13 species